UCAAAGAAGCAACAACAUUUUCAGAUCCAUCAAUAGUAAUAUUGGAAAAUCCAGCUGUGCAAUGAGUUUUAAACUAGAAACAGGUAAUAGUAGAGUAAAGAAAAGUUGAAGCCAUCCACCAUAGUAAAUUCUCCUAUUUUUCAAUCAACUUAGUUUACAAGGUCAACAUACAUACACAGAAAUACAUGAAGUAUACAUAGUUCAAGAAACAGCACACAUCGGGAGUAAACUCAAAGAUCCAAUAGCAAGAUUGUAUCAAACGAAGACACAUUUUGGGAUGCCAGAAUGAAAUUCCUCAUUCAAGGAACAAAAUCAAUAAACCAAAUUUCUUGUGCUAUUUCAAUAAACACCAGAAGCAGAUAAAUUUCUGUUGUUCCAAGAGGGAAAUCUUGGAAUAAAAUUCCUAGUACAAGUUUAGUGUAAACCACAACAAGACAAGUAUUUCUAAACCAGGAACUAAAUCCACAAACCAAAUUUCCUGUGCUAGUUCCAUAAACGCCAGAAGCAGAUAAAUUUAUGUUGUUCCAAGAGCGAAGUCUUGGAAUGAAAUUCCUCGUACAAGUUUAAUGCACACCACAACAAGACAUAUUUGCUGAACCAGGAACUAAAUCAACAAACCAAAUUUCCUGUGCUAGUUCCAUAAACGCCAGAAGCAGAUAAAUUUCUGUUGUUCCAAGAGGGAAAUCUUGCAAUAAAAUUCCUAGUACAAGUUUAGUGCACACCACAACAAGACAAGUAUUUGCUGUACCAGGAACUAAAUCCACAAACCAAAUUUCCUGUGCUAGUUCCAUAAACGCCAGAAGCAGAUAAAUUUAUGUUGUUCCAAGAGCGAAAUCUUGCAAUAAAAUUCCUAGUACAAGUUUAGUGCACACCACAACAAGACAUAUUUGCUGUACCAGGAACUAAAUCAAUGAACCAAAUUUCCUGUGCUACUUCUAUAAACUCCAGAAGCAGAUAAAUUUAUGUUGUUCUAAGAGCGAAAUCUUGGAAUGAAAUUCCUCGUACAAGUUUAGUGCACACCACAACAAGACAUAUUUGCUGUACCAGGAACUAAAUCAAUGAACCAAAUUUCCUGUGCUACUUCUAUAAACGCCAGAAGCACAUCAAUUUCUGUUGUUCUAAGAGGGAAAUCUUGAAAUGAAAUUCCUAGUACAAGGAAUUAAAUUCCUAGUACACACCACAAGACAAGUUUUUGCUGUACCAAGAACUACAUCGAUGAACCAAAUUUCUUGUGUUUGUUCCAUAAAUGCCAGAAGCAGACAAAUUUCUGUUGUUUCAAGAGCAAAACCUUGGAUUGGAAUUCCUCAUACAAGUUUAGUGCACACCACAACCAAGACAAGCAUUUGUAUAACCAGGAAUGAAAUCGAGGAAUCAAAUUUCUUGUUCUAUUUCAAUAUACGCCAGUAGGAGACAAAUUCUUGAUAUUCCUGUAGCAAAAUCUUGAAUUAAAAUCCUUCUUACAAAUUUACUAAACUUGAAAACAGACACAUUUUCGAGACACAUAAGUUCCAGGACAAAAUCUUGAAAAUAUAUUCAGCAUGCAAGAUCAAAAACAAUGGAAAAAAUCAUUGGUGUUCCAGACAAGUAAAUUUGUAAAAUAAAAUUUGUUGAAGAGGUUCAAUAAACAUUGGAAGAAAUCUAAAUUUGGAUUCCAAAUCUAAUGCAGGACUCCAUAAGUAUUUCAAGUUGAACAUAUAUAACUAAGGAAGAUCAAUUGAACACUGGAAGAAUAUUUGUACAGCUGGAUAGUUCAAAAUUAAUUGUUCAUUGCUUAAUUGUUUCAGUUUUGUUCAUGAAUUCUAUCAAUAAAAAUGUUCUAAAAUGAG